rnacentral:rRNA from 1 species
CCUACGGGUGGCAGCAGUGAGGAAUAUUGGUCAAUGGGCGAGAGCCUGAACCAGCCAAGUCGCGUGAAGGAUGACGGAUCUAUGGUUUGUAAACUUCUUUUAUAUGGGGAUAAAGUCAGAUACGUGUUUCUUUUUGUAUGUAUCAUAUGAAUAAGCAUCGGCUAACUCCGUGCCAGCAGCCGCGGUAAUACGGAGGAUGCGAGCGUUAUCCGGAUUUAUUGGGUUUAAAGGGUGCGUAGGUGGUUAAUUAAGUCAGAGGUGAAAGUUUGUGGCUCAACCAUAAAAUUGCCGUUGAAACUGGUUGACUUGAGUAUAUUUGAGGUAGGCGGAAUGUAUGGUGUAGCGGUGAAAUGCAUAGAUAUCACGCAGAACACCGAUUGCGAAGGCAGCUUACUAAGCUAUAACUGACACUGAGGCACGAAAGCGUGGGGAUCAAACAGGAUUAGAUACCCUUGUAGUC